AGUGAACGCUGGCGGCAUGCCUAACACAUGCAAGUCGAACGGCAGCACGGGUAGAUCUUGCUGUUGCCGAUGGCGGGUGGCGGGAGGGUGACAACUGCAUAGGACCCGUCUUUGUCGAGGGUCCGACCGUAGCCGGACUUAUACUACUUACGAAUAACGCAUACAGGCGGGAGCACUUGAGCCCUCGAGCUUUAGGGUUGGACUAAGCCGAUGUCGGAUUAGCUAGUUGGCGGGGUAAAGGCCUACCAAGGCGACGAUCCGUAGCUGGUCUGAGAGGAUGAUCAGCCACACUGGAACUGAGACACGGUCCAGACUCCUACGGGAGGCAGCAGUGGGGAAUAUUGGACAAUGGGCGAAAGCCUGAUCCAGCAAUGCCGCGUGUGUGAAGAAGGCCUUCGGGUUGUAAAGCACUUUUGUUGGGAAAGAAAAACUGGGCAUUAAUACAGGCGUGGUCUGACGGUACCGAAAGAAUAAGCACCGGCUAACUACGUG
rnacentral:rRNA from 1 species